rnacentral:lncRNA from 1 species
UUACCCAUAUGGGUUGAAGGCAUACAUACAUGUAAAUCAACAUAAUAAUUUAACAAUACAUCAUACAGAAAAAAAAAAAAAAACAACAAAAGAACAAAACAUUAUAUACAUAUAUGUAUCUAUCAUGCAGUUGUUGAGUCCACCCUUCUCAGUGACCAUGACUUUUUAACAAAUGAAACAGCAUACUGCAUAAUUGACGGACAAGAAAGACAUAAAACCAAUUUAUCCAAAUUAUCCAUAUUAU